UACGUAGGGCGCAAGCGUUGUCCGGAAUUAUUGGGCGUAAAGAGCUCGUAGGCGGCUUGUCACGUCGGGUGUGAAAGCCCGGGGCUUAACCCCGGGGUCUGCAUUCGAUACGGGCUAGCUAGAGUGUGGUAGGGGGAGAUCGGAAUUCCUGGUGUAGCGGUGAAAAUGCGCAGAUAUCAGGAGGAACACCGGUGGCGAAGGCGGAUCUCUGGGCCAUUACUGACGUGAGGAGCGAAAGCGUGGGGAGCGAACAGG
rnacentral:rRNA from 1 species